CAGCAGCGCCAUGGAGGAGCUCGCCACCGAGAAGGAGGCGGAGGAGAGCCACCGGCAGGACAGCGUGAGCUUGCUCACCUUCAUUCUGCUGCUCACCCUCACCAUCCUCACCAUCUGGCUCUUCAAGCACCGCCGCGUCCGCUUCCUCCACGAGACCGGCCUGGCCAUGAUCUACGGACUCAUAGUUGGGGUGAUCUUGAGGUACGGGACUCCCUCCAGCAGUGGCCAUGACAAGCCGUUCAGCUGCUCGCAGGAGGACAGGCCGUUCACAACCCUGCUGGUCAACGUCAGCGGGAAGUUCUUUGAGUACACACUCAAAGGGGAAAUAAGCCCUGGGAAGAUCCACAACGUGGAGCAAAAUGACAUGUUGAGAAAGGUAACAUUUGACCCAGAAGUUUUUUUCAACAUUCUGUUGCCUCCGAUUAUUUUUCAUGCUGGUUAUAGCCUAAAGAAAAGGCACUUUUUCAGGAAUUUGGGGUCCAUUUUGGCUUACGCCUUUUUAGGAACAGCAGUCUCUUGUUUUAUUAUUGGGAAUCUUAUGUAUGGGGUUGUGAAACUAAUGAAGUUGGUGGGUCAGCUCUCUGAUAAAUUCUACUAUACAGACUGCCUCCUCUUUGGAGCGAUAAUAUCUGCCACUGAUCCAGUUACCGUGCUAGCAAUAUUUAAUGAGCUGCAUGCUGAUGUUGAUCUCUAUGCCCUUCUGUUUGGGGAGAGCGUGUUGAAUGACGCUGUUGCCAUUGUAUUAUCUUCAUCUAUAGUUGCCUACCAGCCAACAGGUGAAAAUACUCAUGCUUUUGAUGCAGCAGCAUUUUUCAAGUCCGUUGGUGUUUUCCUGGGAAUAUUCAGUGGUUCUUUCAUGAUGGGAGCAGUGACAGGGGUUGUGACAGCUCUGGUAACGAAGUUUACCAAGUUGCACUGCUUCCCCCUGCUGGAAACGGCACUCUUCUUCUUGAUGUCCUGGAGCACUUUCUUGCUUGCAGAAGCUUGUGGAUUUACUGGUGUGGUGGCUGUCCUCUUCUGCGGAAUUACCCAGGCACAUUAUACAUACAAUAACUUGUCAGUUGAAUCAAGAAGUCGCACUAAGCAGCUCUUCGAGGUAUUGCACUUCCUGGCUGAGAACUUCAUAUUUUCUUACAUGGGUUUAGCACUGUUUACUUUCCAGAAACACAUAUUCAGCCCAGUUUUCAUUAUUGGAGCUUUUAUUGCAAUCUUUUUGGGAAGAGCUGCACACAUCUACCCUCUCUCCUUUUUGUUGAAUUUGGGCAGAAGGCAUAAGAUCAGCUGGAGCUUUCAGCACAUGAUGAUGUUCUCAGGUCUCAGGGGAGCCAUGGCAUUUGCUCUGGCUAUACGAGAUACUGCUACCUACUCACAUCAAAUGAUGUUCUCAACAACUCUCCUCAUCGUCUUUUUCACUGUGUGGAUUGUCGGUGGAGGUACAACUCCUAUGCUGUCAUGGCUGAACAUCAGAGUUGGUGACCAUGUUCCAUCGGUGGAAGAGAUGAGUGAAAGCCGCUGGCUGUAUUUCAGGGUUGGGGUUGACCCAGAUCAGGAUCCUCCACCUACUAAUGACAGCUUUCAAGUCUUACAAGGAGAUGGCCCAGAUUCUGCAAGAAGGAACAGGACAAAGCAGGAAAGUGCUUGGCUCUUCAGGCUAUGGUAUAGCUUUGACCAUAAUUAUUUAAAGCCAAUUCUCACUCACAGUGGCCCUCCAUUGACCACAACUCUACCCAGCUGGUGUGGCCUGAUAGCCCGCUGUCUGACAAGUCCCCAGGUUUAUGAUAAUCAGGAACAGCUUAGAGAAGAGGAUUCUGAUUUUAUUCUGAAUGAUGGUGACCUUACUGUGACAUAUGGUGAUACAACAAUAACUGCAAAUGGUUCAUCUGGCCCCCAUACAGCUACCACUAGCCUUGAUGGCAGGAGAACAAAAAGUAGUUCAGAGGAAGCAUUGGAACGUGAUUUGGGAGCAGCAGAUCAUGAAGUUACAAGCAGGGGUACCCGGCUAGUAUUUCCUCUGGAAUACAAUGCAUGAUUACUGACUCAGUAAAAAUAACUCUUGCUCUCUGAAUGGAUCAAGGAAGACUGCAGGCCACUGUGUCACUUGAGGUGGGGAAGUUUAUUCAAACAAGUUAACUUGCGUAAGUGGUUUUACAAGGGUCUGAAGAUGUCUCCUGUUUUUCACUCAAGAUGCUGACAGUGGGGUUUUCCAAAUGUCUGAAUAUAGACAAAUGAGAAAACUGGUCAUUCUCUUCUUUUCAACCACAUAUUGAAUCCAAGUAUAACUAGCAUGCUGCAAUUGUCUUGUUCAGCUGCAGCAGCUCUCUCUCUGAAGAGAGGUACAUGGAAAACAUUGUCACAGAACUGAGUUUGUCUUGACAUAGCUGAGGAAUGUGGAGGAAGAACUAUAAACUUGAUAAUUAUUAUGAGACAAAAAAGGAUGUGUGUUACCUGAAUGUAGAGAGAUCCAUUGCUAACUUCUCUUCUGAGGUUGAGGAAGUGAAAUGGGACAGAAUACGAUAGGACUACAGAUGCAUGAAUGAAAGACUGAGGAAUCUGUUACUGCAAGCUGUACUUAAUAUAUUUCAGGGAAAAAAGGGGAAAGAUUUUUUCGCUGGACAGCUGUUUAAAUAGGAAGGCAAUGAGAGCUAUUUGUCCCUUUAGCUUUGGGCAACUUGACUAUUACUAUUAACCUAACUUCUAGUGCCUCAAAUGAAGAACAUCCAGCUUCCUGUUAUCUAAGAUGCACCUGACCCGACAUAAGCCUGGAGCCAGGCUCUCUUGGAUAGCAGUCAUGAAGUAAAACUUUCUUUCCCUUAAGGAUUGUUGAAAACUUGGGCAGGGGAAAACAGCAGAUAGGAGGAGGAGGGAGAAAAAAAGAGAGAGAGAGGCAGUAUUGAACUUGCAUGGAACCAUGAGGUUUCAUAUUGCUCCGAAGAAUUCAUGGACUCUGCUUACAGUUCUUGUGUGUGAUAAACAGCAAACAUCUAAUUAAACAGAAAAACAAAUACUACUGGCUUUACCAUUUGUGACUAUCCUAAAAAAAAUGCUGUUUACUCUUGUUCUCUUUUGCAGAGUAGAUGUGAAACUUCAGUGGGGCAUUGCACAACAGCACAUAAGCUACAGAAGUGAUGAACUGUACUAUCAUCUUAAAUGUGAAAAGGGAAAAAUCUCUGACUAGUAUUUAGCCCACUUACACGUAGGCUAGCUUUAACUUAUUGCUAAAUGCUUUUUAAUUUCCAGAUGAAGAGAUAAUAAUUGUCUUUGCCAAUAGCUGAAAAUGUAUGCUUUGAGGAGCAGUUCAGCUAUUUAAAGCAUGCUAAAAUGUGAUUUCAUUCUCAUGUCUCAAAAAGAUUUAUUUUUUUAAAGAGUUCUGUGGCCCACUAAUGUGAUGUAAUAUCAAUUUGUCCAAAAAGUGUGUUUUUCUUGCUGACAUUUCAGUUGUUCCUCUCAUAAAAUUGUGUGUGAGUAAAUACCCACUCUGUUUUUCCUUACAUAUUAAACUUAUUGGGCUAACCUCAGUACAGGAAUUUACUGCUGCAGAGAAACAUUGUAGUCGUGUUGUCUGGUCUAUUUUCUUUCACAUAUGUCCUAUGAUGAGUGAUCUACCUCCUUGUCUGUCCCUCCAAGGUAAAUUUGUAAAGGGCAUUGAUCUGUAAUGACUAUCUCACAUUAUUAAGAAAAGAGACACAAGGAACCCAGAAGUCUUUUUGUGGAAAAACUAAGACUGAUGUAGUCUGAGCUCUGUUCUUAAAUGGUAAAGACUAACAAACACUGAAGAUCUCUGAGCAGAACAACUCCUUUUCAGGGGCUGCACAUGUUUUGCAUAAAAAAGUAAGUUUGCUUCCCUGGGACUACAGGCUGUUUAUUAGUCAAAGCUGGGGAGCUCUGAGCAGAUCCUGUGACUGCUAAGAGUGGUCCUACAAACAGGAUUUUUCAGGGUGCUUUCUGUGGGAGGGGUUGAAGGCACUGCUGACGCUGGCUCCAGGAGUAGCUCUGAUACUCUGAUCUCCAGUUAUCAGAAAGGGGCAAUGCUAUGACAAGUGUUGAUGCUGUGUGUUACAUGUCUGCUAUGCAGUGUAAGCUGGCUUUUCUGAUAAAACCUGAACAAGGGUGAAGUAUCACAUACUUGGUACUUGACCAAGUCUAGCCCUACUCCAAGGAUGCAAGUUUUAUGGCCUAUGAAAAGACAAAAAAAAAUUUAUUUACUUUUAUACUGAAGGAAUUGCCUUUUGGGAAAGGACUGCAGGAAUUUUGACUGGAGGAGUGAAAAAAAAAAGGUUUUUUUGGCUGAACUUCCAAAGAGCUGAUCUGAAAUUUUAGUUUAAACAAGGAGCUUAUCAUCCACUGCCUGAUUCUGAAUUUCAGUCCUAAAUUGCUUGGCUUGAAUGUCUUAAUGUUGACACAGAUUAAUACCAGAAAGCAGAAUACCAGAAGAGUCUUCUGGUUCGCAUCAGCCGAUCAGUAAUAGCUGUUGUGAAAUAACAGCUUCCAGCACAUGGGGUCACUUGAGGUAAGUUUGUCUGAUUUGAGUUUGGGAUAUCAGAAGUAAAGGAAGGGAGGUAGAAUGAUAGGAUCCAUAGCUGGUUUUGGUGGAGCAGGGAGACAGGCUGCUGUGCUUUUCCUUUGCAAUUAUAGGAUGGGUGCUACAUGUUUCCUUUUCAUUGUUUCUGGUCUGUUCAUAAUGCUCAAAAUCAGAAGCAGCAUUUAAUCUGAUUUCUAUCAGUUUACCAUUCUCGUAAUUCUUGUCACCUAAGGUAUGACCAUACCAGUAAGGUUGCAGGAGGUGUCUUAAGGUUACUUCAAACAUAAAAAUGCAACAGGUAUCCAAAGCAUAUCACACUGUCCUAAGACUGCUGUGGUAGAUGUCCAAAACUUUUGCAACUUCAGUUCCCUUGAGGCACUUAAAGCCUGCAUGGUAUGAGAGGUUCAAGUGUCCAAACGCUGUCAGGGAGGGCUGUAAUUAUAAAGCCUAAUCUGAGAGAUAAACACUGUUUCUUGUAUGCAAGAAAGUGGAUGCUACUACACCAAAUGUCUUUAACGAUGCUGAAGUAAUUACUGUAAGCAGAGGUUUGUAGAAGUGGACUAUAGUACUGUAUCCUUUGAUACAGCCUCUUUGUCAUGUUGACAGCUACAGCGACAACCGUCCUUCUGAUAUUUGCAGUUAAACUGGUGAGGAUUUAAGGAGAACAGCAACUCUCUACAGUGCUAGGGUCUGGUUUCUUGGUCUUCAGCACACCAAUGGCUUGCAGGUGCUCUGAGCUCUAGUUUGGGCUCCUAACAAGGCAAAAUGCAAGGGAUAGGGAAGAGAGAAAAAACAAAAUCUUGUGAAAGCUCUCCAUGUUGUGGGGAUAGUAGUAAUGGAGGAUGGGGAAUAAACACUUGCUGGGCUUUCUGCCACUGACUGAUUUGUGUACAUACUCAGCUAAACAUUCUUUCAUGUGGAUAGGAUACUGCAGUAAUUUCAGCUUUGUUUGAGCCUCCUGACCGAGGCUUCAUCCAAGCAUCCCUUUCUCAAGAGAAGAAGUGUUAGUGCUGUUUGGAACCCCUGCUCUAUCAACAAGUUUCAGGUGUUACCGUUACAGGUCAGAAGUAUUUCAUCUUUCCAUUUCUUCUUAGUACUCCCUUACUUCCCCCAUAGACCUUGGAGUCACUGGGAAGUAGCAGGUACAAGGUGGUGGUAGCUUUUGUGGAGUUAAUUGUUUCACAUUGAGUUUUACUGUUGGCUGCACUGGAACAAAUUAUCAUAGUUGUCACCUGUAAUCAAGUCAGAAAUAUGUAAUCUCUUCUUAUUUGAUUAAUAUUAGUGCAAAACUUACUCUGGCUUGACACAUACCUAUAAACUUUGUAUUUUAUCUCAAAAGUGAAAAGGGCUGAUACUGUCAGACCUUUCCUCAAGGCAAAGCUAGCAACUCAGCCCUCUUCACACCGUACAGAAUGGAUUUGACAUUUUCAUCCUUAAAAUCUAAUGAAUUAUUCCCACCUUGGAGCAUCCAACAGUUGCUUCAAUACCCUUUUAUUGUCAGAAGGUCUGGAAGCUACAACUAAAAGUGAACAUUUUUGUGUGGAGCAUAAAAUUGUUUCAGCUGGGUAGAAGAGAUGGUAAAGGAAGAUCUGAUGCAGUUUUGUAAAAUAAAAAAGCAAGUAACAAAACUGAUUGUUCAAAAGCAUAUCAACAGGUUCAAAAGUCAGCACUUCCAA